UGCAAGUCGAACGAUGACCCGGUGCUUGCACCGGUGAUUAGUGGCGAACGGGUGAGUAACACGUGAGUAACCUGCCCUUGACUCUGGGAUAAGCCUGGGAAACUGGGUCUAAUACCGGAUAUGACCUUCCAUCGCAUGGUGGUUGGUGGAAAGCUUUUGUGGUUUUGGAUGGACUCGCGGCCUAUCAGCUUGUUGGUGAGGUAAUGGCUUACCAAGGCGACGACGGGUAGCCGGCCUGAGAGGGUGACCGGCCACACUGGGACUGAGACACGGCCCAGACUCCUACGGGAGGCAGCAGUGGGGAAUAUUGCACAAUGGGCGCAAGCCUGAUGCAGCGACGCCGCGUGAGGGAUGACGGCCUUCGGGUUGUAAACCUCUUUCAGUAGGGAAGAAGCGAAAGUGACGGUACCUGCAGAAGAAGCGCCGGCUAACUACGUGCCAGCAGCCGCGGUAAUACGUAGGGCGCAAGCGUUAUCCGGAAUUAUUGGGCGUAAAGAGCUCGUAGGCGGUUUGUCGCGUCUGCCGUGAAAGUCCGGGGCUCAACUCCGGAUCUGCGGUGGGUACGGGCAGACUAGAGUGAUGUAGGGGAGACUGGAAUUCCUGGUGUAGCGGUGAAAUGCGCAGAUAUCAGGAGGAACACCGAUGGCGAAGGCAGGUCUCUGGGCAUUAACUGACGCUGAGGAGCGAAAGCAUGGGGAGCGAACAGGAUUAGAUACCCUGGUAGUCCAUGCCGUAAACGUUGGGCACUAGGUGUGGGGGACAUUCCACGUUUUCCGCGCCGUAGCUAACGCAUUAAGUGCCCCGCCUGGGGAGUACGGCCGCAAGGCUAAAACUCAAAGGAAUUGACGGGGGCCCGCACAAGCGGCGGAGCAUGCGGAUUAAUUCGAUGCAACGCGAAGAACCUUACCAAGGCUUGACAUGGACCGGACCGCCGCAGAAAUGUGGUUUCCCCUUUGGGGCUGGUUUACAGGUGGUGCAUGCUGUCGUCAGCUCGUGUCGUGAGAUGUAGGGUUAAGUCCUGCAACGAGCGCAGCCCUCGUUCUUAUGUUGCCAG
rnacentral:rRNA from 1 species